rnacentral:rRNA from 1 species
GGGGUAAACCUGCGAAACUCGAAUGAACGAACGGAGAGAUUCAUCGUCAUUCCGCGGCGUGAGCGCGCGCGUCAUCGAUGCUCGUCGACCUCGGUCGGCGGGCACGUCGCGUGCGCUUCCACGUCCGCGGACGGCGUGCACUUCUCUCUCAGUAACAAUUGCAUCGCGACCCGUUCGAUGUCGAUCUAAGCGCCGCUCGCGGGAGCCCCGCCGUCGCCGGUAACACGGCGGCGACGGGACCGUCGGUGGUCGCCGAUCGGCCGUCGGACGGUAUAAUAUUACGAUACGCGCACGCGUUUUAAACGCGUCCGGCCCGACGCAAGUCAACGUCGUAUCCCGGCGUUCCGCCCGAGCGCGGACGUUGGUGCGGCGCGUCUGUCGUCGCAGCCGUGCAGUCUCGGACCGUGCGCGUCUCCGUCGGCGAUGAUUCUGUUUCGGGCACUCGCAGGACCCGUCUUGAAACACGGACCAAGGAGUCUAGCAUGUAUGCGAGUCAUUGAGAUUUUGACAAUAAACUGAAAGGCGUAACGAAAGUGAAGGCGCGCGCUCGUCGCGCGCUCAGGGAGGAUGGAGCCGCGAUCUAGGUCGCACUCUCGCACUCCCGAGGCGUCUC